UUGCAUGAACCAAUUCCUGUCAAAGCCUCUU
rnacentral:piRNA from 1 species